rnacentral:rRNA from 1 species
AACCGUGGCGGCGAGCGGCGAACGGGUGAGUAAUGCAUCGGAACGUACCCAGUCGUGGGGAUAACGUGGCGAAAGUCACGCUAAUACCGCAUACGUCCUGAGGGAGAAAGCAGGGGAUCGCAAGACCUUGCGCGAUUGGAGCGACCGAUAAUGUCUGAUUAGCUAGUUGGUGGGGUAAAGGCCUACCAAGGCGACGAUCAGUAGCUGGUCUGAGAGGACGAUCAGCCACACUGGGACUGAGACACGGCCCAGACUCCUACGGGAGGCAGCAGUGGGGAAUUUUGGACAAUGGGGCAACCCUGAUCCAGCCAUUCCGCGUGAGUGAAGAAGGCCUUCGGGUUGUAAAGCUCUUUCAGCAGGAACGAAACGGUGGCCAUUAAUACUGGCUACUAAUGACGGUACCUGAAGAAGAAGCACCGGCUAACUACGUG